rnacentral:tRNA from 1 species
GGAGAGGUGACAGAGCGGCCGAUUGUGCCUGUCUCGAAAACAGGUGUACCGCAAGGUACCGAGGGUUCGAAUCCCUCCCUCUCCG